rnacentral:rRNA from 1 species
UACAGGGGGUGCAAGCGUUAUUCGGAGUUACUGGGCGUAAAGCGCUCGUAGGCGGUUUACCAAGUCUGGUGUGAAAUCCCCGGACUCAAUUCGGGAAGUGCAUUGGAUACUGGUAGACUAGAGUAUAGGAGAGGAGAACGGAAUUCCUGGUGUAGAGGUGAAAUUCGUAGAUAUCAGGAGGAACAACGGAGGCGAAGGCGGUUCUCUAGACUAUUACUGACGCUCAGGAGCGAAAGCGUGGGGAGCAAACAGG